GGGUUAAGUCCCGCAACGAGCGCAACCCUUGUCACUAGUUGCCAUCAUUUGGUUGGGCACUCUAGUGAGACUGCCGGUGACAAACCGGAGGAAGGUGGGGAUGACGUCAAGUCCUCAUGGCCCUUAUGGGUAGGGCUUCACACGUCAUACAAUGGUCGGUACAGAGGGUUGCCAAGCCGCGAGGUGGAGCCAAUCCCUUAAAGCCGAUCGUAGUCCGGAUCGUAGUCUGCAACUCGACUACGUGAAGUCGGAAUCGCUAGUAAUCGCAGAUCAGCAUGCUGCGGUGAAUACGUUCCCGGGUCUUGUACACACCGCCCGUCACACCAUGGGAGUGGGUUUCACCAGAAGUAGGUAGCUUAACCUUCGGGAGGGCGCUUACCACGGUGAGAUUCAUGACUGGGGUGAAGUCGUAACAAGGUAGCCGUAUUGGAAGGUGCGGCUGGAUCACCUCCUUU
rnacentral:rRNA from 1 species